GCCCCUUCGGGGGUGUAUAAAGUGGCGAAAGGGCGAGGAAUACGUUCCUACGUACCCCCAGGUCAGGGAUAGCCCAUGGAAACGUGGAGUAAUACCUGAUGUGGUCUCCGGAUCAAAGGCCUUGUGCCGCCCGGGGAGCGGGGAACGUCCUAUCAGGUUGUUGGUGAGGUAACGGCUCACCAAGCCGAAGACGGGUAGCGGGUGUGAGAGCAUGACCCGCCGCAUCGGGACUGAGACACUGCCCGGACUCCUACGGGAGGCUGCAGUAACGAAUCUUCCGCAAUGCGCGAAAGCGUGACGGAGCAAUGCCGCGUGCGGGAUGAAGCCCUUCGGGGUGUAAACCGCUGUCAGGGUUUAGGAACACAAUGACCAUACCCAAAGGAAGGACCGGCUAACUUCGUGCCAGCAGCCGCGGUAAUACGAAGGGUCCAAGCGUUAAUCGGAAUCACUGGGCUUAAAGCGUACGCAGGCGGACGUGCAGGUAUCUUGUGAAAUCCCUCGGCUCAACCGAGGAAUUGCUUGGUAAACCGCACGUCUUGAGACAGGUAGGGGCCAUCGGAACGAUAGGUGGAGUGGUGAAAUGCGUUGAUAUCUAUCGGAACGCCGAAGGAGAAAUCAGAUGGCUGGGCCUGUUCUGACGCUCAGGUACGAAAGCGUGGGGAGCGAACGGGAUUAGAUACCCCGGUAGUCCACGCCGUAAACGAUGUGCACUA
rnacentral:rRNA from 1 species